AAACGUAGGAAGCGAGCGUUAUCCGGAUUUACUGGGCGUAAAGCGUGUGCAGGCGGUUUGAUAAGUUGGAUGUGAAAGCUCCUGGCUUAACUGGGAGAGGUCGUUCAAAACUAUCAGACUAGAGAGUGGUAGAGGGAGGUGGAAUUCCGGGUGUAGUGGUGAAAUGCGUAGAUAUCCGGAGGAACACCAGUGGCGAAAGCGGCCUCCUGGCCCAUUUCUGACGCUCAGACACGAAAGCUAAGGUAGCAAACGGGAUUAGAGACCCCGGUAGUCUUAGCUGUAAACGAUGUGAACUUAGUGUCGGUGGGUUUAAAUCCAUCGGUACUGAAGCUAACGCGAUAAGUUCACCGCCUGGGGACUACGGCCGCAAGGUUAAA
rnacentral:rRNA from 1 species